rnacentral:rRNA from 1 species
GAUGAACGCUAGCGGCAGGCCUAACACAUGCAAGUCGAGGGGUAAGGCUUUCUUCGGAGAGUACACGACCGGCGCACGGGUGAGUAACGCGUAUGCAACCUGCCUCUUACAGGGAGAUAACCCGGGGAAACUCGGACUAAUAUCCCAUAGGUUUAUGAUAUCGCAUGGUAUCAUACAUAAAGCUCCGGCGGUAAGAGAUGGGCAUGCGUGACAUUAGUUAGUUGGUGAGGUAACGGCUCACCAAGACUACGAUGUCUAGGGGGUCUGAAAGGAUGGUCCCCCACACUGGUACUGAGACACGGACCAGACUCCUACGGGAGGCAGCAGUGAGGGAUAUUGGUCAAUGGAGGCAACUCUGAACCAGCCAUGCCGCGUGAAGGAUGAAUGUCCUAUGGAUUGUGAGCUUCUUUUCUUUGCCAAGAAUUAUCAAUACGUGUAUUGGUUUGACUAGCUUAGGAAUAAGCAUCGGCUAACUCCGUGCCAGCAGCCGCGGUAAUACGGAGGAUGCAAGCGUUAUCCGGAUUCACUAGGUUUAAAGGGUGCGCAGGCGGAAUAAUAAGUCAGUGGUGAAAUCUUGCGGCUUAACCGUAAAAUAGCCAUUGAUACUGUUAUUCUUGAGUUCGGUGAGGUAGGCGGAAUGAGUAAUGUAGCGGUGAAAUGCUUAGAUAUUACUCAGAACACCGAUUGCGAAGGCAGCUUACUAAGCCGUUACUGACGCUGAGUCACGAAAGCGUGGGGAGCGAACAGGAUUAGAUACCCUGGUAGUCCACGCCGUAAACGUUGAUUACUCGUUGUUGGCGAUACACAGUCAGCGACUGAGCGAAAGCAUUAAGUAAUCCACCUGGGGAGUACGUCAGCAAUGAUGAAACUCAAAGGAAUUGACGGGGGCCCGCACAAGCGGAGGAACAUGUGGUUUAAUUCGAUGAUACGCGAGGAACCUUACCUGGGCUUAAAUGUAGAGUGCAUUAUUUGGAAACAGAUAUUUCCUUCGGGACUCUUUACAAGGUGCUGCAUGGUUGUCGUCAGCUCGUGCCGUGAGGUGUCGGGUUAAGUCCCAUAACGAGCGCAACCCUCAUCGUUAGUUGCCAUCAGUUCGGCUGGGGACUCUAACGAAACUGCCGGUGCAAACCGUGAGGAAGGUGAGGAUGACGUCAAAUCAGCACGGCCCUUAUGUCCAGGGCUACACACGUGUUACAAUGGUCAGUACAGUGGGCAGCUACUUGGUGACAAGGUGCUAAUCUCCAAAACUGAUCCUAGUUCGGAUCGGAGUCUGCAACUCGACUCCGUGAAGCUGGAUUCGCUAGUAAUCGCACAUCAGCCAUGGUGCGGUGAAUACGUUCCCGGGCCU